GCGGUCGUGGCGGAAUGGCAGACGCGCUAGCUUGAGGGGCUAGUGGAGGAAACUUCGUGGAGGUUCGAGUCCUCUCGACCGCA
rnacentral:tRNA from 1 species